rnacentral:rRNA from 1 species
UGGGGAAUCUUGCACAAUGGGGGCAACCCUGAUGCAGCGACGCCGCGUGAGCGAUGAAGCCCUUCGGGGCGUAAAGCUCCUUCGACCGGAACGAUAAUGACGGUACCGGGAGAAGAAGCUGCGGCUAACUACGUGCCAGCAGCCGCGGUAAUACGUAGGCAGCAAGCGUUGUUCGGAGUUACUGGGCGUAAAGAGUGCGUAGGCGGUUUUCUAAGUUCGGUGUGAAAUCUCCCGGCUUAACUGGGAGGGUGCGCCGAAGACUGGGAAGCUGGAGUGUGGGAAAGGCAGGCGGAAUUCCUGGUGUAGCGGUGAAAUGCGUAGAUAUCAGGAGGAACACCGGCGGUGUAGACGGCUUGCUAGACCAUAACUGACGCUGAGGCACGAAAGCGUGGGUAGCAAACA